UUUUGUCGGAAUUUAAAUCUGACAUUCUAGGUUUUGGUAUCUUUGAUCCAACGCAAGAAAUUGCGUUACACGCUAUUCGCGUCAAAUGUUUCAUACUAUACAAGUACAUAUUGAUAUUGUUUUACGAUAAAUCGUUACGAUUAAUCAUCGUAUCAUUUCAAGUCCUUGUUUCAUCGAAGCUUACGUUACGGAUUAGCAAAUUGAGCAUUGAAUUUCUUUUUAAGGAAAAUCUAUUACCGUAGACGGAAUUGAUGCGAAACUGCAUAAAGAGGUUACAUACAUAUAAAUAUAUAUAUAUAUAUGUACACACACGUGCCCACGUAUGUAUAAUGUAUAGUACCUAGAUGGCCUUUUACAUCAAGUUACCUGCACAUGUGCUCUAGUACAUAUUAAUUUUAUACCUUAAAGAGUACACGUUCGGCUAUGAUAUUGUGAUUUGAACAAUUAUUUUAUACCAAAUGGAGGUUACAGGAUAUAGUAAUCAAUAGAAAAUUAUCUGACUGUUACGUCACUAAUAUAUAUCGUAAAAAUCGAUUGGUAGGAAAAUCCAUGAAUUUCUGUGAUAACAAAUUGUAUAGAAUUUUCCUCGUAUCGAUGUAGUUUUUUCUUUAAAUCUAUUUAAUAUUUUAUGCUUCUUCUGAGAUGGUAAAAAUUAAUUUUUAACUGUAAUAUUUUACAGUCUAAUCUGGCGCAUUGCCAAUCAUGAUCAAUCCCUAAUACAGCUAUCGAUAAUUUCAUGCAUAUUGUUUGCAACAUAAUUGUGGUAAUAAUUUCCGUGUUUAACAUCAGAAAAUAUAUAUUUCGAACCUUCUCUCGAAGAUUUUCUUGGCAUGACCCUUGAACUUCCUGGAAGAAGUCCUUUACAGUUAUUGGCACCCAUUCUGUUCUAUCACACUUAUCACUGGAGAAUAUUGUUCUACAAACUGUAUCGAGUUAUCUACAAAUAAGCUAUCUCGAUUUUCUUCAAUUUACAAGAAUCGCAACUUGUUGCAGAGCACGCAACCAUAUCGAGCACCAACUGUCAAGAGGGCGUUGAAAUCGAUUUUUCCAUUCAUACGUACAUGUAUGUAUAAGUUCUAUCUACUAUGUACUUUUCUAUCUUAAUCUGUUCAAUAGAAAAUUGAUUGUAAUGUGAAA